AUAUUUCGAAGAAAGUAUUCUGAUGCGUCAGCAUCAGGAUAUCUUUCUUCUUUCUUUACUAGCAAGAGCUUCGCUCUUGAGCCGCACAGAUCAUUGAUCUGGUUCAUUAGCGCAGCUCUUGCGAGAUACACUAUACAUGUUGACACACACUGACAUACAGUCACAACACA
rnacentral:misc_RNA from 1 species